rnacentral:misc_RNA from 1 species
AAGUCGUAACAAGGUUUCCGUAGGUGAACCUGCGGAAGGAUCAUUAUUGAAUGAAUUUGGUGUGGUUGUUGCUGGCCUUCUUGGAGGCAUGUGCACACCUACCAUCCUCAUCUCUCCACCUGUGCACCUCUUGUAGAUUUGGAAUUGAUUAUCUGAGGCAACUCGGUCGUGAGGACUGCUAGCACUUAGCUGGCUUUCUUUGCAAUUCCAGGUCUAUGUUUUUCAUAUACCCCAUUGUAUGUAACAGAAUGUAUCAUUGGGCCUUGUGCCUAUAAACCUUAUACAACUUUCAGCAACGGAUCUCUUGGCUCUC